CCUACGGGUGGCAGCAGUGGGGAAUAUUGCACAAUGGUCGAAACCCUGAUGCAGCGACGCCGCGUGAGUGAAGAAGGCUUUCGGUAUGUAAAGCUCUAUCAGCAGGGAAGAAAAUGACGGUACCUGACUCAGUAUCCACUGCUAACUACGUGCCAGCAGCCGCCGGAAUACGUCGGGGGCAAGGGUGAUCCGGAUUUACUGGGGGUAAAGGGAGAUUAGACGGCAGCACGAGUCUGGAGUCAAAUGCCUGGGCGUAACCCCGGAACUGCUAUGGAAACUGUGAAGCUAGAGUGCAAGAGAGGUAAGUGGAAUUCCUAGUGUAGCGGUGAAAUGCGGAGAUAUUAGGAGGAACACCAGUGGCGAAGGCGGCUUACUGGAUUGUAACUGACGUUGAGGCUCGAAAGCGUGGGGAGCAAACAGGAUUAGAUACCCGAGUAGUC
rnacentral:rRNA from 1 species